CCUACGGGUGGCUGCAGUGAGGAAUAUUGGUCAAUGGACGAGAGUCUGAACCAGCCAAGUAGCGUGAAGGAUGACUGCCCUAUGUGUUGUAACCUUCUUUUAUAUGGGAAUAAAACGUUCCACGUGUGGGAUUUUGUAUGUACCAUUUGAAUACGGAUCGGCUAACUCCGUGCCAGCAGCCGCGGUAAUACGGGGGACCCGAGCGUUAUCCGGAUUUAUUGGGUUUAACGGGAGCGUAGAUGGAUUGUUAAGUCAGUUGUGAAAGUUUGCGGCUCAACCGUAAAAUUGCAGUUGAAAAUGGCAGUCUUGAGUACAGUAGAGGUGGGCGGAAUUCGUGGUGUAGCGGUGAAAUGCUUAGAUAUCACGAAGAACUCCGAUUGCGAAGGCAGUUCACUGGACUGCAACUGACACUGAGGCUCGAAAGUGUGGGUAUCAAACAGGAUUAGAUACCCUUGUAGGC
rnacentral:rRNA from 1 species